rnacentral:rRNA from 1 species
AUUGAACGCUGGCGGCAUGCUUUACACAUGCAAGUCGAACGGUAACAGGGUGCUUGCACCGCUGACGAGUGGCGAACGGGUGAGUAAUGCGUCGGAACGUGCCGAGGAGUGGGGGAUAACGCAUCGAAAGGUGUGCUAAUACCGCAUACGUACUGAGGUAGAAAGUGGGGGACCUGCGGGCCUUACGCUAUUCGAGCGGCCGACGUCUGAUUAGCUAGUUGGUGAGGUAAAGGCUCACCAAGGCGACGAUCAGUAGCGGGUCUGAGAGGAUGAUCCGCCACACUGGGACUGAGACACGGCCCAGACUCCUACGGGAGGCAGCAGUGGGGAAUUUUGGACAAUGGGCGCAAGCCUGAUCCAGCCAUGCCGCGUGUCUGAAGAAGGCCUUCGGGUUGUAAAGGACUUUUGUCCGGGAGCAAAUGCUGGUGGCUAACAUCCACCGGAGCUGAGAGUACCGGAAGAAUAAGCACCGGCUAACUACGUGCCAGCAGCCGCCGCUUAAA